GACUGUCUAGUAUAGCAUUAUACGGCGAAACUGCGAAUGGCUCAUUAAAUCAGUUAUCGUUUAUUUGAUAGUACCUUACUACUUGGAUAACCGUGGUAAUUCUAGAGCUAAUACAUGCUAAAAAUCCCGACUCACGGAGGGAUGUAUUUAUUAGAUUAAAAACCAAUGCCCUUCGGGGCUCUUUGGUGAUUCAUAAUAACUUUUCGAAUCGCAUGGCCUUGCGCCGGCGAUGGUUCAUUCAAAUUUCUGCCCUAUCAACUUUCGAUGGCAGGGUCUUGGCCUGCCAUGGUGACAACGGGUAACGGAGGGUUAGGGCUCGACCCCGGAGAAGGAGCCUGAGAAACGGCUACUACAUCCAAGGAAGGCAGCAGGCGCGCAAAUUACCCAAUCCCGACCCGGGGAGGUAGUGACAAUAAAUACUGAUACAGGGYKYKKUYKKGKMUWRUWRKWRSWAYKWKYAMWMUYWAAWYCCYUUAACGAGGAACAAUUSGARGGCCAAGUCYKGYKACCAGCAGCCSYGGGUAAUUCCAGYUCCCAAUAGCSUAUAUUAAAGUYGUUGCAGUUAAAAAGCUSGUAGUUGAWCCUUGGGCCUGGCUGGCCGGUCCGCYUCACCGCGUGCASUGGUUCGGCCGGGCCUUUCCCUCUGGGGAACCGCAUGCCCUUCACUGGGUGUGUCGGGGAACCAGGACUUUUACUGUGAAAAAAUUAGAGUGUUCAAAGCAGGCCUAUGCUCGAAUACAUUAGCAUGGAAUAAUAGAAUAGGACGUGUGGUUCUAUUUUGUUGGUUUCUAGGACCGCCGUAAUGAUUAAUAGGGACAGUCGGGGGCAUCAGUAUUCAAUUGUCAGAGGUGAAAUUCUUGGAUUUAUUGAAGACUAACUACUGCGAAAGCAUUUGCCAAGGAUGUUUUCAUUAAUCAGGAACGAAAGUUAGGGGAUCGAAGACGAUUAUUCUGGUCGUCSACAGCUACGGCCGGGGCGUAGCUAGUCCGCUCGAAGGAGCGGGCGACACUGUCAAAUUGCGGGGACCUCCUUAGAGCCUCUACCACACCCCGUGCCCUGAAAAGGGGGCGGGUCGUAAUAGCGUAGAGGAUUGGACAAUCCGCAGCCAAUCCCGCAGGUUACCCUGUAGCUACACACGUAGCUACCCUGUAACAGGGAGCAGUUCACAGACUAAACGGCAGUGGGGGGCCCCAGGGCCCCUUAAGAUAUAGUCGAGGCACGCCUGAAAAGGCGUGAAGCCAGCGGAGGCUCCGGGGAGCCUUCGCCUGGAAAACGCAGAUACCGUCGUAGUCUUAACCAUAAACUAUGCCGACUAGGGAUCGGGCGAUGUUAUUAUUUGACUCGCUCGGCACCUUACGAGAAAUCAAAAGUCUUGGCUCUGGGAGUUCC
rnacentral:rRNA from 1 species